rnacentral:rRNA from 1 species
UACAGAGGUGGCAAGCGUUGUUCGGAAUUACUGGGCGUAAAGGGCGCGUAGGCGGUCUUGUCAGUCCCUUGUGAAAUCCCCAGGCUCAACUUGGGAACUGCGUCCGAUACUGGAUGGCUUGAAUUCGGGAGAGGGAUGCAGAAUUCCAGGUGUAGCGGUGAAAUGCGUAGAUAUCUGGAGGAAUACCGGUGGCGAAGGCGGCAUCCUGGACCGAGAUUGACACUGAUGAGCGAAAGCCAGGGGAGCAAACGGG